GUCUUCUUCUACAGGUUUC
rnacentral:miRNA from 1 species